GACGAACGCUGGCGGCGUGCCUAAUACAUGCAAGUCGAGCGGACCUCUUCGGAGGUCAGCGGCGGACGGGUGAGUAACACGUGGGCAACCUGCCUGUAAGACUGGGAUAACACCGGGAAACCGGCGCUAAUACCGGAUAAUCCUUUUCCUCACAUGAGGGGAAGCUGAAAGACGGUUUCGGCUGUCACUUACAGAUGGGCCCGCGGCGCAUUAGCUAGUUGGUGGGGUAACGGCCCACCAAGGCGACGAUGCGUAGCCGACCUGAGAGGGUGAUCGGCCACACUGGGACUGAGACACGGCCCAGACUCCUACGGGAGGCAGCAGUAGGGAAUCUUCCGCAAUGGACGAAAGUCUGACGGAGCAACGCCGCGUGAGCGAAGAAGGCCUUCGGGUCGUAAAGCUCUGUUGUCAGGGAAGAACACGUACCGGAGUAACUGCCGGUACCUUGACGGUACCUGACCAGAAAGCCACGGCUAACUACGUGCCAGCCGCCGCCGUAACAC
rnacentral:rRNA from 1 species